rnacentral:misc_RNA from 1 species
UCACCUUUUUGUAAGAAGUAGCUUUGGAGAACAGAGAUAUUUAAUGAUGGUCUUAGCUUAGAAAACAAUAAGGGAGAGAUUUAUAGAAAGGAGAAAUUUGGGCGAAAAUUUUGAGUGAAUAGGAAAGAAACCGCAGCUGUAGAAGAGAAAAGCACAGAGAUAAUGAAAAGAGAAGAAAAAAAAAUUGUUUCCAUGUGAUUUAUAGUAGAUGCAUAAUGUUAGAAUCCCUUAAUUAGUAUAAAUUAGCUGUAAAUUAGAAUAU